AGAGUUUGAUCAUGGCUCAGAUUGAACGCUGGCGGCAGGCCUAACACAUGCAAGUCGAGCGGUAGCACAAGAGAGCUUGCUCUCUGGGUGACGAGCGGCGGACGGGUGAGUAAUGUCUGGGGAACUGCCUGAUGGAGGGGGAUAACUACUGGAAACGGUAGCUAAUACCGCAUAACGUCUUCGGACCAAAGUGGGGGACCUUCGGGCCUCACGCCAUCAGAUGUGCCCAGAUGGGAUUAGCUAGUAGGUGGGGUAAUGGCUCACCUAGGCGACGAUCCCUAGCUGGUCUGAGAGGAUGACCAGCCACACUGGAACUGAGACACGGUCCAGACUCCUACGGGAGGCAGCAGUGGGGAAUAUUGCACAAUGGGCGCAAGCCUGAUGCAGCCAUGCCGCGUGUGUGAAGAAGGCCUUCGGGUUGUAAAGCACUUUCAGCGAGGAGGAAGGGUAGUGUGUUAAUAGCACAUUGCAUUGACGUUACUCGCAGAAGAAGCACCGGCUAACUCCGUGCCAGCAGCCGCGGUAAUACGGAGGGUGCAAGCGUUAAUCGGAAUUACUGGGCGUAAAGCGCACGCAGGCGGUUUGUUAAGUCAGAUGUGAAAUCCCCGCGCUUAACGUGGGAACUGCAUUUGAAACUGGCAAGCUAGAGUCUUGUAGAGGGGGGUAGAAUUCCAGGUGUAGCGGUGAAAUGCGUAGAGAUCUGGAGGAAUACCGGUGGCGAAGGCGGCCCCCUGGACAAAGACUGACGCUCAGGUGCGAAAGCGUGGGGAGCAAACAGGAUUAGAUACCCCGGUAGUCC
rnacentral:rRNA from 1 species